rnacentral:rRNA from 1 species
CAGCAGCCGCGGGAAUACAGAGGGUGCGAGCGUUAAUCGGAUUUACUGGGCGUAAAGCGUGCGUAGGCGGCUUCUUAAGUCGGAUGUGAAAUCCCUGAGCUUAACUUAGGAAUUGCAUUCGAUACUGGGAAGCUAGAGUAUGGGAGAGGAUGGUAGAAUUCCAGGUGUAGCGGUGAAAUGCGUAGAGAUCUGGAGGAAUACCGAUGGCGAAGGCAGCCAUCUGGCCUAAUACUGACGCUGAUGGACGAAAGCGUGGGUAGCGAACAGGAUUAGAUACCCCGGUAGUCCCUGUCUCUUAUAC